rnacentral:rRNA from 1 species
UACGGGGGGGGCAAGCGUUGUUCGGAAUUACUGGGCGUAAAGGGCUCGUAGGUGGCCAACUAAGUCAGACGUGAAAUCCCUCGGCUUAACCGGGGAACUGCGUCUGAUACUGGAUGGCUUGAGUUCGGGAGAGGGAUGCGGAAUUCCAGGUGUAGCGGUGAAAUGCGUAGAUAUCUGGAGGAACACCGGUGGCGAAGGCGGCAUCCUGGACCGACACUGACACUGAUACGCGAAAGCGUGGGGAGCAAACAGG